CACACACACGAACACUGUACAACAUAAACAUUGUGAGGCCUUUGGCACGACAACUUUCACGCGCUGCGCCAACUCGAACUCGAGCUCAAAGACAAUGUUAUCAUAGGCCCACAUUUGUGUGGCAUGUCAGCGAGCACCGAAAGGGGCAACAACAACAACAACAACAAAGGCAACAAGAUGCCGCAAAAGAACGCGAACUGGCAAAAAUUUAGGUACCAUCUUGGCGAAAUAAAUGCAAACAAAAAAAAAAAAACAAAACAGAAAACCAAAAACCGAAGCUCUGUACCGAAAUUCCAUGCCGUGCCACAGAAGAAGCCGCCGUCGCAGCGCACAGAUACAGAUACAGAUCCAGAGAUCCGCAGAUCCGCAGAUCUGCCUCAAUGUUGGUGAGCGCGGGCAUAACUAAGCGUUGCACGAAUUCGCGAAAUUGGCCACCGCGGCAGCAGAAGCUGGGGCCAAAUCAAAGGACACAUAUUGAAUUUCAGAAAGGCUGCUGCCUCGCCACUGACCUUUUGUGGCCCUAGGCUGGGGCAGGGGCAAGGGCAGGGGCAAGGGCAGGGGCAGGGGGCAGGUGGCAGCAUGUGCGAGUUUAGUUAUUAAAAUGAAUGCGAAUUCGAAGCGCAACUCGCUGCAGUUAUGCGACUGACUUAAUUACAGCCAACUCUGCACUGGCUGCCACAAAAAGUGGCAAGCGAGCGCAGCCAUGUAAAUUGCUGCCGCCGCUGUCGCUGCUGCUGCCGCUGCCACUGCCGUCGCCUGUCGUUUAUUUAUAGAAAAUAAUGAAUUGAACAGGUGAGAUCGAGAAAAUGAUAAGCAUAGAAAUUCCAGCAUGCAACAACAUGAGCCCAAAACCGACUCCAACUGGCCAGGUCCAAGUCCAAGUCCAACUGCAGCAGUUGCCAUUGCGAAAAUCAGCGAACGAGCCCAGCAAAAAGCAAUCCAAUUUACUGAUUUAUUUCUUAUUUUACUUUGACUAUGCAACAGCGACAACAACAACAACAACAACAACAACAACUGCAGCAGUGGAAACCACAACGGAGGCAGUCACGGCAGCGGCAGCGGCUGCGGCUGUGGCUGUGGCUGUGGCAGCGGCAGCUCCUGAGCCACAGCCUCCUCUGCCUCGGCGUCAGCCUCAGUGAGAGGCACAGCGGCAGCAUCUCCUGAUGUAGUUAGUGGGCUUUGCUUUGAUCUUGAUUCUUGAUGCUGGGCUGCGACGCCUGACAAUGAUGACGAGGCAUACACAAGAGCCACAGCCGAUACAAAAGUUCCACCCUGGAAGGGCAUUAAAAAAGGACACAUAAAAAAAAAAUUGGCAUUGGCAAACGACAAUUUUGAAAUUCGUGUAGGCAAAAGCUGCUGGCUGCACAGAUGCAGAUGCCACGACAUUAUUUUUGCCACUUGGCCUGGGAGCCGGAGCCGGAGCCGGCGGCCACGAUAGCAACCGGCAACUGGCAACUGGCAACCGGCAACCGGCAACUUGCAACUUGCAACCGGCAUGCGGCAAGCGGCCAACGGCGACGACGGCGACGAGUUGGUUCGCAUCUUUGUCGCUCAUGCUUUAUUUAGGGUUUCAUGUAUAAAUAUUUUUAUUUAUUGUGCAACACAUUCGCACACGUUGCAGCCACGUCUGCGAGCUGCAGGAUGUGCAGCACGACAACAGUCGCUGCCACGGCAAAGGCAAAGGCAACGGCUGCGGCAACGGCAACAAUAAUGAUGAUGAUGUGUAAACUCGCGGUUGGACGCUUAAUUUCUACCUUGGCCAAGGCCCGGAUUGCAGCCAACCGCUGGACACAGGCCGAGGCAUAUUUCUGUAAAUAUAUAUAUAUUGAUAUAUAUAUUGAUAUAUAUAUCGAUGGGCAGUUGCACCUUGUGGCGGUCAUUUGUUUCUUUCGCGCAGUGUAGAUCGGCAUUGAUUGUUGCAAUGUGAUGUAGAGCUAUCGAUGUCUGUUGCGUUUGACUGAUUUUCCGUUUGGCUGGAAAAACGAGACGCCCUCAAAGUGCGGGCCGGAAUUCAAGGCGGCCCCAGCCUCGGACUCGGACUCGGACUCGGAUGCAGUCGGUCUGUGUGCUGCAAGUGCCGCCCAGGUCUUUAAAAAUGUAAGAGCUCAGCAUUGUGGCAUUCAAAUGGAAGAGUCUGCGUGUGUCUGUGUGCUUGUGUGUCUGUUGCCCGAUGACUUCACACAUUCCUGGGCACACACCGGGCAAACAAGAACUUCCUUGAGACCAAACAAUGUCUUCGCGUCUUCAGCCGCAGCUCCAGCCCCAGCUCCAGCUCCAGUCUCAGCCAGAGUCCCAGCCAGAAGUACUGCAAGCGUCGAACCAGUUUUUGGUGAAUGAAAAAUCAAACAAAACCUAAAAAGUUGCACGGAAAGCCAAGACGCUGCGCGGCCGGGUCUAGGGGCCAGCAGCGGCAGCCCGAAGAGUCGGCAAGUAAAAUACUUAUAAUAAAAAGAAAUUAAAAUAAAAUUCAAAAAUGUGCAAAACGAGCGCGCCAACAGAAACGAGAAAUGCUGCAUGCCACAGCCGCAGCAGCAGCAGCAGCAGCCGCAGCCAAAGUCAAGCCAGGGCCAGGGCCCGCCCGAAGAAUCUCCAUGGCGUAGUGUCAGUCAGGCUGGAACCUGUUGGACCAGUCGAAGACGUCGACGACGACGGCG